UUUCUCUCCCUCUCUCUUUCUCGCUGCCUCGCUUCCAGAAACGGACGUAAAUCGACGGAAAAGAGAAACGAAGUAAAGAAGAAGUUGGAAGCGAAAGCUCGGAGGAGCCGAACCCGCAGGCUUUCUGCACUGGUGCGGGAGUUGCGCGCUGCAAUCACGGAUCCUUCAGCCACGCAGGACACGUGUGUGCCUAAAUGGAGUAAGACCUCCCAUCAUCUGCUUCAUGAUGUCCAGCACUGCCCUGCACUAUCCAGUACUGUCCAGCACUCAAGAAUAAACCACACAGCAGAAAGAGAGAGAGAGGAGAAGAGAAGAGCCAGGGAGUGGGAGGGGGAGAUGAAGGAUGGAUAGCGUUAGAUGGAUGAACUUGGAGCGGUCCGGCUCAGAUUGUGAUCGCCGGGGGCUCUCCUGCUAUCUUCCUCCUCUGCAGGCCCCUCUCUCCAGCCUGCAGAGCGUGCUAACGCACCGAGGCCAGCUAGGGUGAGCUAUCAUGGGCUUGGAGAGGUAGCCUGAACCCCCCUUCCUCGGUCAGCACCACCUCUGGAGCCCAGAGUGAAAUCAAUAUGAGGAAAGAGAGACUGAUGCUGGAUCACCCAAGCUAGCCCCCCAGCCGCGAGCCAAAUGACCUCACACACACAUAGACACAGUCACACACGUUAGCACUACAUAGUUAUGCUCUCUCUAUCUGUCUCUCUCACUUACAAAGAUAGUCAUGCUAACACGCUAACAUGCAUACCGUUAUGCUCUCUCACAUACACACAAACACACACCAGGGUGAGCAAAGACCUCGCACAAGUCCCGACUCCCACACACCUAACCGUGUGUAUGUGUGUGUGUGUAAGGUUUACCUUGAGGGCAUGUUAUUUUGGACCAGCUCUCUACAAUCCAAACAGGCCUCAAUUAUUUUUCCUGAAGAUGCCAAAAGGUCCUAGCUGGCUUCUCCCCUCUUUCUCUCACUCUCUCUCUCCAUCACUCUACCUUCAGCCAUGCCGCCUCCCACUCUCGGCGCGAGAGAGAAAUUAUUCAAAUAUGUUUGUACAACGAUGAACUUCCUCCCCCGAGCAUCUCAUUGCCCAUUCUGUGGCAAAGACUUGAAAGAAGAAAAUCCUUUGCUGCGCCGUGCCUUGCUGUGCUAACACUCCUACACUCCUCCACACCAGGGAGGCUAACGCACCAUGAUGCCUCGGCCAUAAUGACCACCUCUCUCACCGAGUUUUCCCUCAAGAACAACGGCCAUCAGUCAGUCGAGCCAUGGGACAGUGUGGACUUAGCAGAGCCCAGUACAGCAUUACAUCAGAAGUGGUGCUAAAUCAGCAAGCUCAAGUGCAGACCACAUCAAACUUCAACCUCAGCCAACAAGAUCGCUCACUGAAGGGAUGCUGAAUUAAGACUGAAGAGUAGACUGACCGGUCCUUCUGGAGAGAGAAAAACAGCACUGAACACAGUGACAAUGCUGAUGACAGUGAUGUCCGACAGCUCUUGUUCAGGCCCGGCACUGGCAGAAGAAAACAGCUAUCAGACGUGCACUGCAGGACUGUGUUGAGUUUUUGUGAAAUGUACACAACCUCAAAAAUGAGUUUCUGUUGAAUGUCUUACCUUUGCUGCUGAGGUUCUUUCGAUUUAUACCUAAACCUAAAGUCUGGAUAUUUCAUGACAUUUCUGUUGCAGUGUAAACAACAGAGGACUGUGGACAAUCUGCAAAAGGUAAGUAGACAAAAAGAGGUAAGUGAGAUACAUGCACAAAUCUAUUGUUAGGUUUUUGUUUUUGGAAUGUUCAUACUCAGCACCAGCUUAUGUAUAUGUAUUUUAUAUAAUAUUAAGGAAUAAUGUUUACAUGUGGCUAUUUCUAUAUAACUCCAUUAUGGUGGUACUUCUGAAUGCUUUUAGUUCUUGCUGCCUCCUCAGCACAUCAGUAACAGUAAAUAUAUCAUACAUAAUCGCAUCGCUGUCCAAAGAAAGACAUGAAUCUCCAAAAGAGCAGCUUUACAGGAGAAAGGGAAACAUUCUUAACUUUUAAUGUAAGGACUGUUCAGAGGUUUUAGUCUAAUUCAUUUUGGCUCAUUUCUACUGGUCCACUCACUGUAAAAUUUUCAAACAUUGUAAAAGACAACUGCUGUGUUCAAAUGAUAUAGAAAAAUAAAAACUGAAACAUUUUUUGAACAGUGAUGAUAAA